ensembl:lncRNA
UUUUAUCAGCUGUUAGGACUCAUUCUGACGGCACCCAUUAAUUGCUGUGGAUCCAUUGGUAAGCAAGUGAUGCAAUGCUACAUUCUCCAAAUCUGUUCCGAUUACGAAACUCACCUACAUGGUCUGAGGGUGAGUGCAUUCUUAGCAAACUUUCAUUUUUGGAUGAACUAUUCCUUAAAGAUUUGAGAAACCCAUUAGUGAGCAAUUCAUCAUAUAAACAAAAAGUUCUUCUCUGAUUCUUAUGCUCUAGUUAAAGUUUUAAUAUUAAAUCUGUUUCGCAUGUUGUUUUGAUCAUGCUGCUUGCAUAUUAUUUCAUAUCUGUCCCGUGAGAGAACUAGUGAGACCACCUUCUUCGCGCGCAUUUUAAAAGCGUGCACCCAUGUGCGCUCUCGUGCACUCGUGUACAUGUCAGCUAUGGCUCUGUUCUUUUUCUUGUAACUUCAUUUACUGAUACUCUCAUCACUCAUGAAUAUUUCUGAGAGCAGAGCGGGUCUCGGCACCGUGGUGCCUCUUACUAGUUUAGAGAACGUGCUUUUGUUUCUCUUCAAUGUAAUUCUCGCCACCGCCAUUAUUUUUAUUAACGUCUCUGUGUUUGUUUCCAUCAUGAUGAACAGAUCUCUGCGAAACGAGAACCGCUUCAUGUACAUGCUCAGCACGUGUCUCAGUGACAUCUGCACGGGCGUCUCUUAUUAUUAUGCUGGAGUUAUGGAUGUACGCGAUUCUUAUGACUCCCCGACUCGCACUUUCUACAUCGUUCCCACUUUUCUGGGUCUGUCCUAUAUGGCGAUUCUGGCCGCGCAAGCGGACCGCUACCACGCGGUCUCAGCGCCUUUUAAAUACUCGCAGCGCAUGACGCGAAACAGAACCCUGCUGGUGAUUCUGGCCUACUGGGUUUAUGCUUUUCUGAUAGUUGCUGUUAAUAAUUUGGUUACUUUGGGGGUUGCUAAAAGAGUUACGGGCUUUGGCACUUUUGUGGCGAACAUUUUCACCGUCAUUAUCAUGAUUGGGCUGAACGUCAGGCUCUUCUUUGUCGCUAAAUUUCAGCUAGAACGCGAACCACCGAGCGCAGAACGCGACAACAAGCGCGCGUCCAUUUAUCUCAUCAUAAUAGUAGCCGUGUGUUUUCUGAUCGCGUGGUUACCCAUUUUUCUUCAUAUUAUUGCGUGUAAUUUCGCGGGGUCUACGUGCUAUACGUUCAGAAAUGAGGGUUCAGACCCCCUGCGCAUUUUGCCACGUGUGAAUGCAGUUCUGACCCCUUUAUUGUAUAUCAGAGGCUGUUCAGCACUUAGGAGCACACUACUAAGUAAAGUCUGGAGACCCGCGUGCUGCAAGAGGAAAGGUGUGAACCCCCUGUCCAUGGAGAAGAAUGGAGGUGUCGUUUUCAAGAUGUGA